UCUCGGUUAUUGCAGCUCAAUCUCUCUCCUCACCUACCAUCUCAAUCUUUCUUCAUUUACGGUGGCCACCUCCACGCCGAGAUGCCGCCGCCGUAUUCCAGACGUCGCCGCUGCCCAUUUCUCAUUUCUUGUUCAGCCUCAUCAUCUCUCUCUGUGUGGAUGAGAUGCCGGUGGAGCUGCUCGUCGAGUGUCUUCAGAUCUAUCUGAUCCGCCCUCACAAAUCCGUCGCCAGUGUGGAUGUCUCCCUCUCUCCGGAAAGCGCCGAUGCGACGUCAGUGGAGCUUACGGUGGGAACGCGCAAUAAGCGACGAACUUCAACAGCGAAAAGCAAAGCGAGCCGAUAAGUUCGGAUAGUCCAAUUGAUGAGACUCCUAGACCUGCAGUUCAUUCGUCCUGCUUAGUUUUGACUGCUUCUGAUACCAGCACUCAUGGUGGAUUUCUGUCUUUCAUAAACAUGCAAAUGAGUGUCUUCCCCCAUUGAAUAUGAGCCAACAGAUUCUGAGUUGCUGACACCGGAAUUGAUUGCUAAGGAUACACAUGGAAAUGAAUGGCAAUUCAAACAUAUAUUUAGAGAGGAAGAUAAUGGGGUUUUAAGAGUACUAAACGACUAAAAUUGGUGUUGUGCAUUAAAGGUAAUUUUGUUACCUUAGAAUAGUAACUUAAUAUGUAUGCCAUACUUUGCUAAUAUCU